UGGGGAAUUUUGCGCAAUGGGCGAAAGCCUGACGCAGCAACGCCGCGUGGGUGAUGAAGGUCUUCGGAUCGUAAAACCCUGUCGUCAGGGACGAAGGUCGGUCGUUGAAUAGGCGAUUGGCUUGACGGUACCUGGAGAGGAAGCCCCGGCUAACUCUGUGCCAGCAGCCGCGGUAAUACAGAGGGGGCAAGCGUUAUUCGGAAUUAUUGGGCGUAAAGGGCGCGUAGGCGGGUUGUUAAGUGAGAUGUGCAAUCCCCGAGCUUAACUUGGGAACUGCAUCGCAGACUGGAAGGCUAGAGGGCGGGAGAGGGUGGUAGAAUGCCACGUGUAGCGGUGAAAUGCGUAGAGAUGUGGAGGAAUACCAGUGGCGAAGGCGGCCACCUGGACAGUAACUGACGCUGAGGCGCGAAAGUGUGGGUAGCAAACA
rnacentral:rRNA from 1 species